rnacentral:rRNA from 1 species
UACGAAGGGGGCUAGCGUUGCUCGGAAUCACUGGGCGUAAAGCGCACGUAGGCGGAUUGCUAAGUCAGGGGUGAAAUCCUGGAGCUCAACUCCAGAACUGCCUUUGAUACUGGCGACCUUGAGUCCGGGAGAGGUGAGUGGAACUGCGAGUGUAGAGGUGAAAUUCGUAGAUAUUCGCAAGAACACCAGUGGCGAAGGCGGCUCACUGGCCCGGUACUGACGCUGAGGUGCGAAAGCGUGGGGAGCGAACGGG